GCAGCACGCCGGGACACUGCGCAUGCGUCUGGGAGCCGAGGUUACACAACGCGUUGCUGAUCUAUCCAGGACGGCUUCAGGAUGGACUAUAAGAAGGAGGUUCAGUCCCGAUUGGGUCCGGCGCAACCUCAGGGAGUACAUAUAUAGCGGCCUUGGUUUACGGCGACGCACAAUGGCACAAAGAAGAACUAAGAGCAGCACUCUGGAGACUGAACAACCUCCUGAUGCGGAAAAUGAAUGGAUCG